ACGGAAGGCAGCAGUAGGGAAUAUUGCACAAUGGGGGGAACCCUGAUGCAGCCAUGCCGCGUGUGUGAAGAAGGCCUUCGGGUUGUAAAGCACUUUCGGAGGGGAGGAAAAUGACGUUACCCUCAGAAGAAGCACCGGCUAACUCCGUGCCAGCAGCCGCGGUAAUACGGAGGGUGUAAGCGUUAAUCGGAAUAACUGGGCGUAAAGGGCAUGCAGGCGGUUGUAUAAGUAGGGUGUGAAAUCCCCGGGCUCAACCUGGGAACUGCAUUCUAGACUGUACAACUAGAGUAUUGCAGGGGGAGACGGAAUUCCAGGUGUAGCGGUGGAAUGCGUAGAUAUCUGGAAGAACACCAAAGGCGAAGGCAGUCUCCUGGGCGAAUACUGACGCUCAUAUGCGAAAGCGUGGGUAGCAAACAGGAUUAGAUACCCUGGUA
rnacentral:rRNA from 1 species